CUACACAUGACCAGUCUUCUGUAGUGAACAAAAAUGGCAUCUAAAUCCCAAGUGACACUCUUAAGCAUUUGGCAGCAGAAGGGCUCGUCUGAGAAAGAUUAAGUUAAUGGAAGCAUUUGGGUAACAUCUGCAUGACUCUUCAUCCUGAUCACAUUAGCUGUUUUGGACAUCUGUUUUCCAGCAUCACAUUGGAACUUCCUCUACAGCUGACUGUUCACCUUGACUCCCAAACCUUUAUUCAGAGUCAUUGCUUCCCAGGAUUGAGGCUUCCAUCCUAAAGGGAGUUGGGGGACAGAUGGCAGAAACAGACAAAAAUUUCCCAGGGGAGGAAAGAGAAUUACUGCAGAAGAUCAGGAUCAGACCUGAACAGGAGUUUUAAACUAGGAACUGGUGAAACAAGAUGAAUUGGACCAUGCAGACCUACCAUGCCUACAAGGAAUACCGAGGAUAGAGGUGGACUAGACUUUGAAGC